UACGUAGGGUGCAAGCGUCGUCCGGAAUUAUUGGGCGUAAAGAGCGUGUAGGCGGCCAGGUAGGUCAGCUGUGAAAACUCGAGGCUCAACCUCGAGACGUCGGUUGAAACCACCUGGCUAGAGUCCGGAAGAGGAGAGUGGAAUUCCUGGUGUAGCGGUGGAAUGCGCAGAUAUCAGGAAGAACACCCGUGGCGAAGGCGGCUCUCUGGGCCACUACUGACGCUGAGAAGCGAAAGCAUGGGGAGCGAACAGG
rnacentral:rRNA from 1 species